CGGAGGGUGCAAGCGUUGUCCGGAUUUAUUGGGUUUAAAGGGUGCGUAGGCGGCCAUUUAAGUCUGGGGUGAAAGCCCGUUGCUCAACAACGGAACUGCCCUGGAAACUGGAUGGCUUGAGUACAGACGAGGGCGGCGGAAUGGAAGGUGUAGCGGUGAAAUGCAUAGAUACCUUCCAGAACCCCGAUUGCGAAGGCAGCUGCCUAGACUGUAACUGACGCUGAGGCACGAAAGCGUGGGGAGCGAACAGGAUU
rnacentral:rRNA from 1 species